UAAAUUUUUUACUUAAAUUAUUAAAAUUUAAAUUUGCUUGAGGACAAGCAGCAUAAACAUUCUCAAACCGUCAAAGGAAGUUCUAAGCUACAUGACAUCAAGUUCUCCCAUCAAUUCUUCCUAUUUCUAAGCAAGACAACGAGUUCUCCAAUCAACUCAGCGAGUUCUAACUUCUAAGUUACAUCAAGUUCUCCAAUCAACUCAGCGAAUUCAAACUUCUAAGCUACAUCAAGUUCUAUCAAUUCCUAUUUCUAAGCGACUAACCGGAGGUCCUAAAGCUGGUUUGUCAGAAUGAAAGGCUGGUCCAUGACACUUCUUCACGCUGCAUGCUGCUCCAACACUUCUUAACCUGAGGUCCUGACACCUCCUUGUUCUGUUGUUCACCAACACUCCAACAGCUCGACAAAGAAACCAACCAAAACCAAAAGACAUAUCAGAGACUUGUCAAGACAAGUAAUCGAAACAACAAGCAACUAUAUGAUUCUUGUCUUAACUUCACAGCGGAUCUUCCCGUGUAGCCAACGAACAAUCAU
rnacentral:lncRNA from 1 species